rnacentral:rRNA from 1 species
UACGGAGGGUGCAAGCGUUAUCCGGAUCCACUGGGUUUAAAGGGUGCGUAGGCGGACAUGUAAGUCCGUGGUGAAAUCUCCGAGCUUAACUCGGAAACUGCCAUGGAUACUAUAUGUCUUGAAUGUUGUGGAGGUUAGCGGAAUAUGUCAUGUAGCGGUGAAAUGCAUAGAUAUGACAUAGAACACCAAUUGCGAAGGCAGCUGGCUACACAAAUAUUGACGCUGAGGCACGAAAGCGUGGGGAUCAAACAGG